UCUGAAGAUAGACCCUCUCCCUCUUCUCCUCCGCUGGGAGAGCUUUUCCUCUCAGCCUGGUUCAUGUUCUACCUGUGAGACAAACACACGCGCACAGUCACGCACGCACAUGCACACACCUUUGCGAAUCAUGGAUGAUGCUUGGAGCGGUUACCAUAACAACGAUGUCCCAACAGCUCAUGUAGAUUUUCUCGAAAACCAGGAUCCCUAUGGAGAGGCUAGCAUUGACAUAGGUGUACACCAAAAAGGCUCAUAACCACAGAGCUAGCCAGCCAGGAACCUCCAGAGGCCCCCAGAUCCCUCUGGUUUCAUCCCAGCGACAGUCAUCUGAAGACAGCCACUUCCUUUGGGACCUCCCCUCUCUCUGCUCUGGGCGUGUGGAACAACCAGGAUACAGGCCAUAUCCUAUCUCUGCUACACGCAUACACACAGACACACAUCUGCUAAACAUAUAGAGAAGCCACAUACUUGUAUAGACAGAUAAGAGCUAACCCUCAAAAGGAAAAGUCAUUUUUAUUUUUGUCAUAGAGGUUAUAUUGGGUCUUUAUCGGAAACCCAUGCCACUGUUGGUAAUAGCAAUGAGUGUUUUGGUGCUAAACAAGUUGCCCUACUACA